rnacentral:tRNA from 1 species
GGGGAUUUAGCUUUGUGGUAGAGCGCUUGCCUAGCAAGCGCAAGGCCCUGGGUUCGGUUCCCAGCUCCG